rnacentral:tRNA from 1 species
GCCUCCUUAGCUCAGUUGGUAGAGCGACCGCCUUGUAAGCGGUAGGUCGUCGGUUCGAAUCCGACAGGUGGCUCCA